GUAGGGUGGGCAAGCGUUAUCCGGAUUUACUGGGCGUAAAGCGUACGUAGGCGGGUCCGACAAGUCUGUUGUGAAAUCUCCUGGCCUAACUGGGAGAGGUCAAUGGAAACUGCCGGACUGGAGGGGCGUAGAGGCGAGCGGAAUUCCCGGUGUAGUGGUGAAAUGCGUAGAUAUCGGGAGGAACACCAGUGGCGAAAGCGGCUCGCUAGGCGCUACCUGACGCUGAGGUACGAAAGCGUGGGGAGCGAACCGGAUUAGAUACCCGGGUAGUCCACGCUGUAAACGAUGGAUGCUAGACGUGGGGGGUAUCGACCCCCUCUGUGUCGUCGCUAACGCAUUAAGCAUCCCGCCUGGGGACUACGGCCGCAAAGGCUAA
rnacentral:rRNA from 1 species